ACAGCAGCCGCCGCGGUAAUACAGAGGGUGCAAGCGUUAAUCGGAAUUACUGGGCGUAAAGCGUGCGUAGGCGGUGAGUUAAGUCUGCUGUGAAAUCCCCGGGCUCAACCUGGGAAUGGCAGUGGAUACUGGCUCGCUAGAGUGUGUCAGAGGAUGGUGGAAUUCCCGGUGUAGCGGUGAAAUGCGUAGAGAUCGGGAGGAACAUCAGUGGCGAAGGCGGCCAUCUGGGACAACACUGACGCUGAGGCACGAAAGCGUGGGGAGCAAACAGGAUUAGAUACCCCCGUAGUCCCUGUCUCUUAUAC
rnacentral:rRNA from 1 species